UACGAAGGGUGCAAGCGUUACUCGGAAUUACUGGGCGUAAAGCGUGCGUAGGUGGUUUGUUAAGUCUGAUGUGAAAGCCCUGGGCUCAACCUGGGAAUUGCAUUGGAUACUGGCAGGCUAGAGUGCGGUAGAGGAUGGCGGAAUUCCCGGUGUAGCAGUGAAAUGCGCAGAUAUCGGGAGGAACACCAGUAGCGAAGGCGACACUCUGGGCCGGUACUGACGCUGAGGUGCGAAAGCGUGGGGAGCAAACAGG
rnacentral:rRNA from 1 species